GGGGGGAGCAAGCGUUGUUCGGAAUUACUGGGCGUAAAGGGCGUGUAGGCGGCUAGAUAAGUGAGGUGUGAAAGGUCUCGGCUCACCCGAGGAUGUGCAUCUCAUACUGUUUAGCUUGAGUAUGGGAGAGGAUGGGGGAAUUCCUGGUGUAGCGGUGAAAUGCGUAGAUAUCAGGAGGAACACCAGUGGCGAAGGCGCCCAUCUGGCCCAAUACUGACGCUGAGGCGCGAAAGCUAGGGGGGAGCGAACGGGAUUAGAUACCCCGGUAGUCCUAGCCGUAAACGGUGAUCACUAGGUGUUGGAGGCAUUGACCCCCUCCAGUGCCGCAGCUAACGCAUUAAGUGAUCCCGCCUGGGGAGUACGGCCGCAAGGCUG
rnacentral:rRNA from 1 species